rnacentral:rRNA from 1 species
UACGUAGGGGGCAAGCGUUGUCCGGAAUUAUUGGGCGUAAAGAGCGCGUAGGCGGUCCGAUAAGUCGGCUGUGAAAAUCAGGGGCUCAACCCUUGGAAGCCGGCCGAUACUGUCGGACUAGAGUCCGGAAGAGGCGAGUGGAAUUCCCGGUGUAGCGGUGAAAUGCGCAGAUAUCGGGAGGAACACCAAUGGCGAAGGCAGCUCGCUGGGACGGUACUGACGCUGAGGCGCGAAAGCGUGGGGGGCAAACAGG